AACAAACACUUGCGGAGAAAACAAAAACCAGAAUUGAGCUCCUCAAUAAUUAUUGUUUUAUUUAAAUUACCUCUUCGAAAACAGUGAAAAGAUACUUAAAAUCUAAAAAAGACUGAAAAGUCCCUACGCUUUAUUACCUUGGCCGGAGCUCGACGACUUUCAAAACCCGUGAUGAUGGAUGAAAACGAAUCAGUUUUCUCGAAAUGGAACUUAGUUAAAACUAUUAAAUAGGUGUUUUAGGCUGCUAAACAUUACCGGGAAAAGUUGUGCAAGUGGAAAUUUUCUUCGUUAUAAGCAAUUGAGUUUCGAUUCUGGAAUCUCUGCCAAAAUAAUUCUCUACGCUGUUGCUCGUCAGUCAUCGGAAGCAGUCGAAUGCUUCUUCAACAGGUGGCUUUCGACAGAAGGUCUGGAACUGCUGCUGAUAAUCCCCAUGAGACUGUCGUGCAGGACUAUAUGAUUGAGAAAAAUCGUCAUAAUGUCCGUUGGAAGCGAAUCAAAAUCUUUAGCAAACCCGAAAGAUUAUGCUGUGUUUGACGGUUGACCUGUUUGGAGCCCACUGCCACAGGUUGACUUAUAAAAUUUCGGAACUAGGACAGAACGCAUAUUUUACCUGGAGAGUCGUUUAAAUGGAAAAACGUUCUCGCUGGAACGCUUUUAUGCAUAAGAGUCAAUAGCAAUAACUUUGAAUAUUUCUCUAUCUGCUGAACUGGUGGAUGGUGAACUGGUCUAUGUAUUAAGGAAAUUUGCAGCGGACACAGAAUGGCUGUUAGCGAAAAUGAUAGUGUAAUUGGAAUGGAUCGAAAUGAUAAUUGAUUAUCAUCAAGGAUGUCUCUCUUGGAUAAGGCAGAUCAUAAGUCAAUGUCAUACCGGUUGUUUUAACUAAGAAGUGAAGAAUAGUUUAAAAGCUAAAAUUCAAAUUUGUAUUGUAAAAUUGUGUAUUUGAAAAAUAGUCAAUUGCAUAAUAAUGAACAGAAAUAAUAGUACAAUAUUUAGAAAGCUUUUUUG